GGGUCUGCGUUUCAUUAGCUAGUUGGUAGGGUAAUGGCCUACCAAGGCAACGAUGAGUAGCUGGUCUGAGAGGAUGAUCAGCCACACUGGAACUGAAACACGGUCCAGACUCCUACGGGAGGCAGCAGUGGGGAAUAUUGCGCAAUGGGCGAAAGCCUGACGCAGCAACGCCGUGUGAGGGAUGAAGGCUUUCGGGUCGUAAACCUCUGUCGGAAGGGAAGAACGGGCAUUGGUCUAAUAGGCCUUUGUUUUGACGGUACCUUUAGAGGAAGCACCGGCUAACUCCGUGCCAGCAGCCGCGGUAAUACGGAGGGUGCAAGCGUUAUUCGGAAUUACUGGGCGUAAAGCGCACGUAGGCCGCUUUGUAAGUCA
rnacentral:rRNA from 1 species